rnacentral:rRNA from 1 species
CAGGACGAACGCUGGCGGCGUGCCUAACACAUGCAAGUCGAGCGAGGAGAUCCUUCGGGAUGAUCCGUAGCGGCGGACGGGUGAGUAACACGUGGGCAACCUGCCUCAUAGAGAGGAAUAGCCUUCCGAAAGGGAGAUUAAUACCUCAUAACAUUGCAGUUUCGCAUGGAACAGCAAUUAAAGGAGCAAUCCGCUAUGAGAUGGGCCCGCGGCGCAUUAGCUAGUUGGUGAGGUAACGGCUCACCAAGGCGACGAUGCGUAGCCGACCUGAGAGGUGAUCGGCCACAUUGGGACUGAGACACGGCCCAGACUCCUACGGGAGGCAGCAGUGGGAAUAUUGCACAAUGGGGGAAACCCUGAUGCAAGCAACGCCGCGUGAGUGAUGACGGCCUUCGGGUUGUAAAGCUCUGUCUUCAGGGACGAUAAUGACGGUACCUGAGGAGGAAGCCACGGCUAACUACGUGCCAGCCGCUGC